rnacentral:lncRNA from 1 species
AAAAGGUUGAGAAAAUUUAAUACUGAUCUGAGUCAUGUAUGAAACUAAGCAAAUUAGAUUUGGGUUUGGUUUGAUUAGACCUGAUAAGUUUUGAUAUAUCCCAUAGACAAAAAUUUAGGACCUUAGUUAAGUCGAUUCGAAUACCUUUGUUCUGGAUUGACUCAUCACGGAUGACCUUUAUUGGCCAUCUAUUUAGAUCAGACUGAUCCAACACACAUGCAUAUACAAAUA